UCUACCCAGAGAGGCAUUGCAGGUGUGACUGAUGUGUUACGUGUGUGUCAGUAGGCGGCAGAAAGGAGAGAGGUUAUGUCUAUGCUCAGGAUUCUGACCUAUGAACAUCUGCAUUAUUAGUAACCUAACAUU